rnacentral:lncRNA from 1 species
CUGGGUGUCUAAGGUGCUGAUGGUGUCAUGCCUUGCUUUCCCCAGAGGCUGGACUUCCGAAAGAACACACUCGCCCAGAUGCAGAAGUUGAAGGAGCAAUGUGAGAAGCUACAGAAAGUCACUGAGAGGCUCCUGAGCAACACAGGAGACAUCCAGAACCUGCAAGAGAUGGUGGAGCAGCUGGACCUGAAUAAAGCAGACAAAACCCUGCUUGAACAGGAGAUGAAUGUGAAAGCAGACAAGAGCGAGCUGGAGACCAAGGUGGACCAUGACAAACUGCAAAGUGCCACCACUCAGCUGAAUGAGAUGAUGCAGGACCUGCUGCAUAAGAUGUCCCUGCAGGACAAGGAGUGGCAGAAGGUUCUGGAGAAUCUGUUCAUCAACAUGG